rnacentral:rRNA from 1 species
UAGGGAAUUUUCGUCAAUGGGGGAAGCCCCGAACGAGCAAUGCCGCGUGUGUGAAGAAGGUCUUCGGAUCGUAAAGCACUGUUGUAAGUGAAGAAUACCAUAUAGAGGAAAUGCUAUGUGGGUGACGGUAGCUUACCAGAAAGCCACGGCUAACUACGUGCCAGCAGCCGCGGUAAUACGUAGGUGGCAAGCGUUAUCCGGAAUCAUUGGGCGUAAAGGGUGCGUAGGUGGCACGAUAAGUCUGAAGUAAAAGGCAACAGCUCAACUGUUGUAUGCUUUGGAAACUGCCGAGCUAGAGUGCAGAAGAGGGCGAUGGAAUUCCAUGUGUAGCGGUAAAAUGCGUAGAUAUAUGGAGGAACACCAGUGGCGAAGGCGGUCGCCUGGUCUGUAACUGACACUGAUGCACGAAAGCGUGGGGAGCAAAUAGGAUUAGAUACC